rnacentral:pre_miRNA from 1 species
GACAGGAAGAGGAAGGAAAGAGAGCCCAAGAGCAGUGAGCAUGGGAACAUGAUGGAAGGCUAAAGCUCUCUUAGUUCCUCGUGCAACGCUUAAAAAGGCUUUGGUUGAGUUUCCCUAGUGCCUCCCGUGCCUAUUAUUCUUUGGAGCUCCUUGCUCGUCCUUUUUUGU